AAGCGUAGCUUAUUUAGUGGCACUAGGAAGAAUAUGACGUCUGAAAUCUAGCUCAGUGCUGCGCUGUUUUCAGACAUGAUCUUACCUAGUGCCACUAAAUAAGCUACGCUU
rnacentral:pre_miRNA from 1 species